ensembl:misc_RNA Metazoa_SRP Metazoan signal recognition particle RNA
GCCAGGCAUGGUGGCGCAUGCCUGUAAUCCCAGCUACUUGGGAGGCUGAGGCAGGAUAAUCACUUGAAAACAGGAAGCAGAGGUUGCAGUGAGCCGAGAUCAUGCUACUGCACUUCAGCCUGGGUGACAGAGUGAGACUCUGUCUCAA